GGUACCACGGGCUGCCCAGGAUUGCCGACUACGCUGCGUUCCAGCUGGGUCCGCAGUCUCCCUGCUACACCAGAGUUGAGAAUGAACACUGGGAACAUCUCACUAACACAGAGUGUGUUUCUGAUUGAUCCGGCUGCGGGACAGACUGGACGGAGCACGGCCCUGGCGGCAGACCUGGUGUGACCAGGUCCCAGCUCUCCGGAUGAGCAGCUUCUCUGAGCCUGGGCUCCUGAUCUGUAAGCACGUCUCUCCCAGUUGCAAGAAUUAAAGGAAAAACAGCACUCGGUAAGGGCUGUUCCUGCCUCCUCAGUCAUUAGAACUUCAUUCAGUAAAACAGAGUGGAUUCACUACGUUAUCUGAAAUGUGUAACUGUGCUGAAAAAGAAAACCAAUCUGCAAAUUUGUAAAUAAAGCUUUACUAUGUGAGCUUUUAUUCAUGAUUACGAAGUUUUCUUUAGUAAACUCUUCAUCAGAUGGCCAUUAUCUUAUGUUGAUUGGUUUUGAAGAGGAAAAUGAGCCCCUGGAAACAAACACCUCCUCCAGGGAGCCGGCCGGCUUUCCUCCAGGCGGGGCCGUACCGGGGGCACAAGUGUAGUGUGUGGGCUGCUGACACAGAGGGGCCACAUCUCGUGAGUCUGCUGAUGUCUGUCCUGAUUAGUCAGAAACACAUAGCACCACCUGACCUAGAGGAACAAGCCAGGACAGUCGACUGACCAGACUUUGGCUUUUCUAACAAGACGCAGAAAACAACACACGAGUUCCUCCCUGGGACCAGGACAGAAGCCUCCCUGGUCUCCUUCUUUCCAUCUCUCGGUUACUGUGCUGUGAAACAGCUUCCAAAGUACAGACCCUCAGGCUGGACAAGAUCAGCGAGGUCCUCUAGUUCUCUAACGAGACAGGAAAAUACACGCUUUAGGGGGAGUGUCAACAGGGGGAAAAAGCCGAAUUCGGAAGGGCUUUGGGGUCCGUGUUCACUGAAGGAGAAAGUGGAGCUCUGUGCUCACGCCCGCUCUCCAGGGCUGACUGGGCUCCUCCGGGCAGGCCCCUCGCUCGCGGGGAGAAGCUGUUAGUGAAUCUGCUGCCCGCGUUCGAACACCUGGCGGUUCUACACGAACGUGUGGGUUCCUGACCUCAGGGAAGCUCUCACGUUUCUUCCAGGCCACGGUCUGUGCAGCCAAGUGGCUACGACCCGGACACGGCCCGUGCACACGUUAUGGGUCGGCCCCGUGGGACGGUAUUCCGCGCAUCCUUCUAUCUCUAGUGCCUAACAAGGCGCAGAGAAGCUGUCGAUAGAUGCUUUCUCAUGACGUAGAGCAUUUCAGGGUUCAAUCCAAAGAUAUGUACUUAUUACUUGACUGGAAGUAUUUUUUCAAUAAUAUAAGAAAUUUAAGAGGACUUGAAAUUUGGGGCAACCAGGUCAAGGAUUUUACUAGAUGUUUUAUCUUCCGUAAAACGGAAUGGAAUUAUGCAAUAAUCUCUCAUUGAUUUUUACUGUAGGUGAAUACGUUCAGGUUAGUGGUUGGCCGGCCCAGAGCAGGAAAACGGCUUCAGCUCCCCCACAUCCUCCUCCCCGACUCGGUCUAACCACACUCGUCUCGAAUACCGGGAGGCCCGAGGGGCUGUUCACCUGCGAGGCCACUCACUCGGAACGUCGCAGAAAAAGCUGUCCCUGUGGAAGUCCCAGUCGACCUCUCUUUUCUCUCGUUCAUAGUGAUCAUCGGACCACCUGUCGUCCCGGUGGCUGAAAGGGAAGGACAACGUGAGAGGCAGGGACGUGCUGGUGACCGUGUGGGGAAGGCGGUCGACCACGCUGGCACAACGCCGUGUGACGGCCAAUGGAGGACUUGCGUGUGGUCGUACCGGAUAUAACCUGAAUAAAUAAAAGCUCUUUGGGACCCUUGAUGAUUUCUGGAAGCAUAAAGGGGUCAUGACAUCAGGACGUUCGAUACCCGAUAUGCUAACUUCAGACCAUCUUUAAAGAACGUGCUGCCUGAACACCAGCGAUGAAGCUACUCAUGACUCAUGAGCUUGGAGAGAAAACCUAGAGACAGAGCAGGAGAGCAAGGUCUGAAGUGACCUCGGAGCCACAACCUGGAGCAGCUGGGAAGACAUGACAUUUUCUUAGGGGACACGACAGUCAGAUGUCAGAAACGCCCGAAAUGCACCUACAGGUGGAGCCGGGACCCGUCGGAGCUGCACUGUGGUCGCGGAAGCGCCCGUGACACUUCAUCCACCAGGGCGAUCUUACCUCCCUGGCGACAUCUUUCCGAUUUGCUGCUUUUAAUCUCCAAUAGAGCCUGCAGGACGAUUUUCACCUAACUCGGCCUUGGGUUGAUAAAUAACAACUGCUAAAAACAAAUCUAGUCUCUUUUACAGAGUGCAAGUCUUUUUCCAGAGUUCAUUCACCUGUUAAUACCAUGUGGUCAAAUGCACGCCCCAAACCAAACAUAGUACCUCUGCCUGUUCUUUGGUUAGGUUUUCAGCCUUUUUCAACUGAGUAAAACCCCAAGGCAGGUGGCAUUUGCUCGGUGACACGGUCACAAGGAUACACUGGGGGCUGGGCACAAUUCCCAGAGGGCUAGCUGGGGUCCCUCCCUCUCCCGUGGGAGAAAGUGUUUCUGCACACAAGUGGGGGACAGUGACAUUGCUACGGGACGAGGCUCCCAUCUGCUUAAGAAGCACUUACAACUCGGGUCGGGUACCAGUAACGAGCCGUAAGCCGUCCCCGCACCUGACCCCUGAGAACAGGCGCAGCCGCGAGAGCCUGGGCUCCAGGAUCCCGUGGCCAGCGAACCGUGCUGUGUGCACAGCCCUCGGUCAAGGGUACAACGUUCCCACAAAGGAGGCCAAGGGGUGCAGAGCAUGGUGAUAACCAUAAUGGGGUUGAGGCGGAGAGGCAAGGGAAGUUUUUAAAAAAGGUAACAGAAAAAAAAGUAUGAGAGAAAAGUUAACAAGAAACAGAAGAAAAUGUGGAGAGGCUACACAUGGUGUUUCCUUGUUUCCCUCACCUUUUAGCUCUCUUAGUAAUGUCUGAGGAGAGAGUGGGAGGCCGUAGGGAGGGGGAAAUGAGCAGGAACCGUGAACGGUAGAACCUGCAGUGUGCACGUGAUGCUGUGGUCACACGAGCAGAGCCGCCGUCGUCACCACUCGUCACUGUGACGGCACCGCUGGCCGUGCUCCCCGUGCUGUGACUGUCCUCCCCGGACCCCCUCUCCCUGCACCCCUCCCCUCCAGCAACCACGUGUGUUCUCCGGGUCGAUGGAUCUGUUUCUGCCUUUGUUUGUUGUGUUUUAGGGUCCACAAAACCAUACGGUAUUUGUCUUUCUCUGAUUUAUUUCACUGAGCAUAAUACCCUCUGGUCCAUCCACGUUGUUAUAAAUGGCAGGCUCUCACCCUUAUUAUGGCCGAGUGAUAUUCUAGUGUGCACGUGCACGUUUCUACAUACCACAUCUUUCUUUAAAUUAUUUUUUUAAACUGCAGUAUCUUCUUUAUUUAAAUAAUCUCCACGCCCAAUGUGGGGCCUGAAUACACGACCCCGCGAUCAAGAGUCGCAUGUUUGGGGCACCCGGCGAGGCUCGGUUGGAAGAACGUGUGACUUUUGAUCUCGGGGUUGUGACUUCAAGCCCCACGUUCAGUGUAGAGACCACUUAAAAAUUA